rnacentral:lncRNA from 1 species
GAGUAUUAUAUACGAGUAUAUAUAUAGAUAGAUUAGGAUACCAUGUAUAUAUGUGUUGCAGAUUUUCUGAUAAGAUGAGAGCGCGAUUAAUUAUUUCGCAGGAGCACACACGAUCGGGCAGGCGCAGUGCCAGAAUUUCAGGGACAGGAUCUACAACGAGACCAACAUCGAUUCCGCCUUCGCGACGCAACGCCAGGCCAACUGCCCACGGCCGACGGGCAGCGGCGACAGCAACCUGGCGCCGCUGGACACGACGACGCCCAACGCCUUCGACAACGCCUACUACAGCAACCUGCUGUCCAACAAGGGGCUCCUGCACUCCGACCAGGUGCUCUUCAACGGCGGCAGCGCGGACAACACGGUCAGGAACUUCGCGUCCAACGCGGCGGCGUUCAGCAGCGCCUUCACGACGGCCAUGGUGAAGAUGGGGAACAUCUCGCCGCUGACCGGGACGCAGGGGCAGAUCAGGCUCAGCUGCUCCAAGGUGAACUCCUAAUUAAGGAGUAGUAUGACGGGAUGCGUUCGUUGCUGGAAGCAAAUCGUGUCGACGACGACAUAAACGGGCCACACCACAUAUACCCAUAUAUGUAGUAUAACCACAAGUAUAGGUACGGUGGUGUUGUACUAGUACACGUAAAGUAUAUGGCAGCCAGCUCGCUCUAGCAAUCCAUCAAGUGUAUGGAGCAGAGCAGCCAUGGCAUUAGCACCUAGUAUACCAAAAUAAAAGCUCCUCAUGCGAAGGCAUGCAUGGAGGAUUAAUGAACUGUUACCUUCACACACAUGUCCGUUCACAACUUCUCCAGACUUUUACGGUACAUCAAGCUCCGUUUUUUCAAGUAAACAACACUAGAUUAUGUUUUUUCAUUAGAUAGAGAAAAAAUAAAUACAACCUGCCCCUAGGAGCGAAAAAAAGAAGAAGAAAAAGCCCGUCUUUACAAAUUAUAUACUGAUAGGUAAUAACUCUCUAAGUCAUUUUGUUCCUGCCAUAGUCCAAGUCUUCUUCCUCUAUUUUUGCUAGGAGGGUUAUUGUCGUGGUCUCCUUGUUAGAAAUUUUGUUGGUUCCUCUCCUUCCGUAUCUUCUAGACGACAAGGAGAAUUAGGGAGCGCAAUCCCCGCUUUGGCAUAAAUGUCGUGUUUGGCACACACAUUGAUAGGGGUGGCUAACAAGCCGACUCGGCUCGACUCGUAAAAACUCAUUAAGUUAAUGAGCUAGCUUGGCUCGACUCGUUAACAUAACGAGUUAAAAAUGGAACUCGACUCGACUCAUUAAAAAGUCCGAGUUGACUCAUUAAACGUGUUACACCAAAAAACAUGGUUUGAAAUUCAUAUGCAAUAUAAUUUGUGAUUCUAUGACAAAAAUUAUGAUUGGCGUGCUAUGUAUCAUGGCUCAUAAGAUUGUACUACAAUGUAUAAUUAUGAGUAUAUGACUUUUACACCUGUAAAAUAUGAACAAUUAACUUCUAUCUUAGUGUAUCAUGAGCUCAACGAGCUAAUCGAGUAACUCACGAGCUAGCUCGAGUUGGCUCGUUAAGUAAACGAGUAAAAGUUCAAACUCAUUAACUACUCGAGUUAAGUCGAGCCGAGCCGAGUUUUACACAAGUUGAGCUAGCUCGUAAGUUCGAUUUUUUUUCCACCCCUGCACAUCGAGCUCUGUUUCGCUAUUGAUGUUGGUUGACACGGUGAACUUUGACUCUUUGAGUAUCAAUUAUCAAACGGUGUACUCCUACCGUCUUACGUGCCAUUGCCAUCCCGCGCGGCCGCACCGUCCCAAACUCCCACCGACGCAAGCAAGCGCCGCCCUUCCGCUUGGGCCGUUUUACGCCCGAAUGGUCCGAGACCUACCUAUUGGGCCUUUGGACCGUGUGACGCCACAUUUCGCUCGCAGUGUCUGUCAGACCAGGGAUGGUGGCCCGUGGGCGCUGAGCAGGCCGGCCUUUCAUUUAGUUCGUGUCACCUGUAGGCGGCUAGGCCGGAGGGAAACUAACGUACACUUUUGUUGUUAUUUAUAACUUUAUCGACUAUAAAUUUUGAUAAGCAACAAAUCAAACAUGCCAUAAUCAAUUAGGCAAAAUUCAGUAAUUUACCUUAGCAAAAUUUAGUAAUGGAAAAAUUAGGAAAAACUAAAGUUAUAUUCCCUCCUCCUCAAAAAGAAUACAAUUUUAGAUUUUAAAUUUAUUCCAACAUAUAACGUACUCUAUAGUAUUGCUUUUUCGUCCAACCACCACUCAUUCACCCAUAUAUUACUAACCUAGCUACUCCACCAUUCCCAACUGUCCCUCAUUUGAUGAGUGGUCGAGUAUUUUUCCUAUACUAUACUAGUUUGUCUUUUAAAUAUUACAAUUGUAUUUUUCUUUUUUAGAAUUGAGGUAGUAAAUUUGUAAACAAAGUGAACAGGCCACCAACCUACUAGGUGGACCACUGUACACGAUAAUAUUAUUUGUGCUAUUGUGUUUAUUUUAAUCUAAGUUGCAAAUCAAGAGAGUAUUUUAUUUCAUUCAAAAAGGAAUAAUUUGUGAAACACUCAGCAACUGUAUAAUAUUAGCCGUGAAACUCGGUUAACCAUAAUUUUUUUUCAAAGGAACUAUACGAUAAUUUAAUUAUUUUACUAUCCGCAUUUUAUGGCUUAAGAAACAAGAGUAACAUACGGCACAUGCAACAACCACCAUUCUAGCUAGAGCUAGAAAUGUCGGCCCAACUUGUGAUAGCUAAUUACGUUCGAAUGGAAAAUCAUAUCACCAACAUGCAUGGUUUAAUCAUGGCAACGCUGAUGCGAAAGCUCUCGCAGAUCUAUUAUUUUUUCCCUGGAGAUUGAUCGAAAAUGAUGGCACAACGGUAUGUAAUGCUAUAACAGCAUAUAUUGUCUUGUAACACACCGUUUGCACUUAAAUUAGACAAUUAGUCCGAACGUACAUAAGAAGAUGAAUUGCGAUAGACCAUUCUAGCUCGUCACGAGCUGAAUAGUUCUCGCACUAUUAUACCCGAGAUCAAUUAGCAGAGUAUUAAUAAGGUAAAGUUAUUUUCAUAAACUCUGUACGACGAUAGUGCAUACAUACCAAUCUUUAACAAAGGGACAAAUUAUCGACGGCAUUUGUAUGUUCAUGUGCUAUUCUAUGGCACGGGUGCUCUUUUUUUUUGGCUUAAGCAACGCGUGAUUAAUGGUUAACAGAUUAAGGUCAAGCGAAAUGGACCGAACUGACCCUACAUUGCAUGAAUAAUGCAGAGGUGAUGAUGUUGGCCGUAGGCCGUACGUAGAAACUUAUGUUGGACACACAUGUAAGUACUAGUAGUCUAGUAGCACUAAUAAAGUUAACUAAUAAAUUAUAUAUGAUGUCACUUUAAAAAAUACAGAUUCAAAUUCGAUAUAUUGAAGUUGAACAAAUUAAAUUCUAGCUAGUUAGUAUGCACACAUUCACACUCAUAUUUGUUUUUGUGUUGUAAUUUAUAGAAGUUAAAAUUCAACUUGCAAUUUGUUAGUAAAAACAUAACUAUUUAGAUGACUAGAAACAUAUCCUUCUGUUGUAAUGUGCCAGGCUCAUAUAAGUAGAAAUAUGCUAUUAGAAAAUUAGAGAUAGUACUCUGUGCGUGGUGGGAGGAGGGAUGAAAAAAUGACGAGUUCGAUUUUAAGGUAGUAGAGAUAUGUACAAAGCAAUAGGAUAUUCCUAUUGAGAUUAAAAUACAUUCCCCUGCCCAGCUCCCCUCGUAUGAUUAAUGUACCUGCAUAUUUCGUCUCAUCUCGGCACCAAUCGAUGGCGUCAAGCCUGUAGCUAAGCUAGCUAUAUAAGAUGCAGCGUGGCACCAGCCUCUCUUGCAAGCCACGGCCAGCGAAAAAGCUUAAAAAAAACUGCAGUUAUUUAGGUAGGAUUAAGCAUACGCGCACGGCGCAUCAUAUCGCUCACUCUGCAUGGCUUCGGCUUCUUCUGUCAGCUUAAUGCUGCUCGUGGCUGCAGCUAUGGCCUCAGCCGCCUCGGCGCAGCUGUCGGCGACGUUCUACGACACGUCGUGCCCAAACGCAUUGUCCACCAUCAAGAGCGCAGUGACGGCCGCCGUGAACAGCGAGCCCCGAAUGGGAGCCUCGCUGGUCAGGCUGCACUUCCACGACUGCUUCGUCCAAGCAAGUUUUGAUCACCUAAUCUAAUCAGCUGUACAAGUAGUUCUCCUUAGACUGUACUUUGAGACAAGGAAAUUAAUAACAGAGGAUGUAUCUAUGGACUUCACUGAUGAUGCAGGGCUGUGACGCGUCUGUUCUGCUGUCCGGCCAGGAGCAGAAUGCAGGCCCGAACGCUGGGUCACUUCGGGGAUUCAACGUCGUCGACAACAUCAAGACGCAGGUCGAGGCCAUCUGCAGCCAGACCGUCUCCUGCGCCGACAUCCUCGCCGUCGCCGCCCGUGACUCCGUCGUCGCGGUAAGAUCACGGAUGAGAUUACUACAUGAUGCAUAUAUUUCUUGUAGACUGUAGUAGUACGUACUCCUAAUCGCUCUUGGUUUGGUUUGGAAUCCUUAUAUUUGCAGCUCGGAGGGCCGUCGUGGACGGUUCUAUUGGGAAGAAGGGACUCCACCACUGCGAACGAAAGCCAAGCAAAUACCGACCUCCCUGCCCCUUCCUCUAGCCUCGCUGAACUUAUCGGCAAUUUCUCCAGAAAGGGACUCGACGUAACCGACAUGGUUGCUCUCUCAGGUACAUAUAUAUGUACACAGAUUAUAUCAGUGAUUGAUUCUCUUACAAAUUUUCUGAUAAGAAUCAUAAUACGAUGAGAACUUGCAGGCGCACACACGAUCGGGCAGGCGCAGUGCCAGAACUUCAGGGACAGGCUCUACAACGAGACAAACAUCGACUCCAGCUUCGCGACGGCGCUCAAGGCCAACUGCCCACGGCCGACGGGCAGCGGCGACAGCAACCUGGCGCCGCUGGACACGACGACGCCCAACGCCUUCGACAGCGCCUACUACACCAACCUGCUGUCCAACAAGGGCCUCCUGCACUCCGACCAGGUGCUCUUCAACGGCGGCAGCACGGACAACACGGUCAGGAACUUCUCCUCCAACACGGCGGCGUUCAACAGCGCCUUCACGGCGGCCAUGGUGAAGAUGGGGAACAUCUCGCCCUUGACUGGAACCCAGGGGCAGAUCAGGCUCAACUGCUCCAAGGUUAACUAGCCGGUGAUGACGAGUACGUGAUGGUCUCAGGGAAUAAAGCUAGGCCCCGACAUUGCUGCCAAUAGCGUGCAGCUAGCUGUGGCCAUCUCAUCACUUUCAUGGUUCAAUGGUUUCAUCAGCAAGUGCACGGAACAGACUAGAGAGUGUAGGUGUAUGCAUGUGUGAUGUCAUGUAACGAGUUGCCAUGCAAAGGCAUGAGGAUUACGGACCUCUCUUUCGUCGUAAUCCUAGCAGCUACAGAUUUCAACUGUCGUGUUAACCAAGUGAAGUGCUAGUUUCGAAUGUAUUGGCCCCUCUCUGCUCUUCUCUGCUCUGGCGAUCUGGCCUCUGCGAUGGUUUCUUCUGGGGAAUAAGUUCAUCUAAGUUCCCUUAACUUGUCAACGAAUCCGAUUUUUAUCCUUCAACCACAAAACCAGAUACAAUUGGUCCCUCAACUAUCAAAACCGGUGCAUAUUAUGUCCCUCGGCGGUUUCGAUAGUGGUUUUGGCUGACGUGGCGCCUACGUGGCUAAUUUUGACUCGGUCUUGAUCUGACGUGGCACUGAUGUGGCGCUUACGUGGCAAUUCGAUCCGGAAAAUAAUAAACCCCGUGGGACCCACAUGUCAGUUUCACACACAAUAAUAAUAAUAAUGGUGGGACCCACGCGGACCCCACAUGUCAGUCUAAUUAACCCCUCCUCUUCUGCUUCCUCUCUCUCCUCCUCCCCUCUCUUCGUCUCUCUCUUGCGCUGGGUCAUUCUGAUUCUCCUCUUCCCCAUCUUCUCUGUCUUCAUCUCUCUCCCCUCUCCUCUCUCUCUUCUCUCCGGUUCACGGGCGGCGGGGAGAGGACGGUGUCCGGCUGGGAGAAGGGGCGCGGCGCGGCGGCUAGUGGGAGGGAAACUAGCGGAUAGAAGGGAACCAGCCCGGUGGCGGAGGCAGCGCCGCCGCGGCCGUGGCUGCGGACGACGUCGACGUCGACCUCGGCAUCCUCGGCGGCGGGAUGAACGUGUCCCGCCGACCGGCCGACACACGCGCGCAUCCUCGGAGGUGGCUGUCCACGUGGGCGGGUGAGGGGGCCACCUCGCCGGCGGGAGAGGGGAGAGGCGGCCGGCUGCGAAGACGACCCUAGUGAUGAUGACGACCGUGCGGCGCGCGGCGGAGGCCGAUCCCGUGAGCAGGAAGCUCUUCGUCCACGGCCUCGGCUGGGGCACCAGAGCCGACGACCUCCGCUCCGCGUUUAUAUGCCUAAUCAUACAAAGGUAGAAGAAAUAGCGACUAGUACUAGCUGACUGGAGUAUAUUUUGCUUCGUCAUCAUCAUUUGCUUGUGUUAUGACGGGGUUGAUGAAUGAAUAAAUGAUCAUUGUUUUGGGCAAGAAAACACCGUUCCGGCCGGACUGACGAGGAACCCAUAUCGAUCCGCUCGCCGCGGCCCAUGGAAACCCAACAGGAGAUGGCAACGCUACCUUCCGCCGUCGGCGACUACUAAUGGUGGGUGAUGCUCGAGCACAUUGAUGAACUCGAGGUCGACGACGAGGACUCCAACUACAACUCCUGCUCCGCCGCUGCCGACGACACCGCCAAUCCCGUGAGUCCAUGACGACCUCGCUCACCUCCAACGGCCACGUCGUAAGAGUCUACUUCCGCCUCAAAGCGCCCCCGGCGACGUCACACCUAUGCCUCUGGCAAUCACUCUUCUCCAUUUCCGCCGCCGUCGUCGUCGCCGGCCGCAUCCCCUAGUGCAAGAGAGAGAUGAAGAGAGGAGAGAAUGAGAGAGAGGAAGCAGAAGAGGAGGGGUGAGUAGACUGACAUGUGGGGCAGCGUGGGUUCCACCAUUAUUAUUAUUUUUUUUUGUGUGUGAAACUGACAUGUGGGUCCCAUGGGGUUUAUUAUUUUCCCGGGUCAGAUUGCCACGUAAGCGCCACGUCAUACCACGUCAGAUCGAGACCGAGUCAAAAUUAGCCACGCAGGCGCCACGUCAGCCAAAACCGCCAUCGAAACCGCCGAGGGACCUAAUAUGCACCGGUUUUGAUAGUUAAGGGACCCGUUGUAUCUGGUUUUGCGGUUGAAAGACGAAAAUCGGAUUCGUUGAUAAGUUAAGGGACCUUAGAUGAACUUAAGAAGUCCGCCUGGAGAGCUGAAAUGGGCUGCACCUUUUAGUGUCCCCGUGAUGUGGCCCAACUACGCCUAGUUAAUGGGCUACUGGUCUGGAAAGUGGAUUGUAGUCCGCUUGUGUACGCUGGAAUAAGUUCACUUUGCGUCCCGCAUCUUUGAUGGCAAGUUUGAAAAUUCGUUGCUGAACCGCAAUAUCAAGUAUAGCCUGUCCCCGAACUCGUAAAACCGUGUUAACUUUCGUUCUAAUAUAGUAUGGCUCCUGAUUUCGUCCGAUGUGGCGCUUUGACUCUGGUCAGUUGUGCUGAGUUAGCGUGGGACCCAUGCUAGCCCGUGUGUUAGUAACUAACUCUUUCCUCCUCUCUCCCGCUCUCUCCUCUCUUCCCAAUCCCCAACCAGGAAGCAGGUCGCAAGCAGCGUGGAUAAGGUUGGCAGCCGACGUCCAGCGGGUGUGUGGGGAGAAGGGCGGCCAAGCCCGAUGCGAUGCAAGGAGCCAUGUCCAAUUUGAGAAUGUAAUUCGAACUCAAUGUUAAGAGGACAGAUCCCCGGCUGUGUUCGGGAGGAGGGGUUGGGAACCCCUCCUCUCCGGCAGGUAUAACGAAACAAUCAUUAGUGUAUAACUAAUUAAGUAUUAAUUUAAAAAUUUUAAAAAAUAAAUUAAUAUGAUUUUUUUAAAAAAAACCUUCCUGUAGAAAACUUUUGAAAAGAACGUAUCGUUUAGUAGUUUGAAAAGCGUGCAUAUGAAAAAAAGAGGAAAAUGAGUUGAAAAAAAAAGGGAAUAAGUGGACUUAUUCCUGUGUACGCCUUAAAUCGCCAUGUGCAUGUGUAUAGCAGGGUUGUAUGGCGUCCAAAAAAACACGCACACGGAUAGUUUUGUUCGGUUUGGCAUAACAAUUUAUAGCAUGUUGACUGUUGACCUCAUCCUGUCAGUCGCUCGGUUCAUCAUUUCAACUGCUUGUGCAUCACCCAAAUAAUUCGACUGGCUAAGGUUUAUCAGAAAAUGUGUGUUCGUCUAUUUUUUCUGGUAGAAGAUUUACUUCGGAAAUAGUUGUGGUCCAAAUACUGUCCAAACUCUUUUCCAAACGAGUGAGAAGAGAAAUGGUGGCCAAAUGGAAGAUGAUCACGUACACCAAAAAAUAGUAAUCUUAUAGAUAUAUCAUCAACUAGUAGUGCACAAGCUCCCACGUUAAUUAAAAAUUUUGAUCAAUUUAUUGUCUACAUGCCCAAUUAAUUAAUGUUUGAAUCCUAAUACAUGCAUGGAAGAUAAAAUUAGAACCAGAUAAUAAAAGCAAUGAUGUACUCACUCCUUCCCAUGUUUAUCCAUCAUAUAAUGGAAUUUAAAAUUUCUUAAAUCGAUCAUCAUAUAACCGCAUGGACACAGAUUUUAUCAAAAUACAAUUAAUACAGCAUGAAAGAAUGUGUACAUGCUAAGAUGUAAUUGACAUGGUGUUUUAAUCGAUACAUACAUUAUGGGAGAAUGUGUGCAUGGUGUUUUGAUUAAUGUGAUUUAAAUUAUACUUGGUCCUCGUGCAUAAACAUAUAUGAUGAUCAAUUUAGGAAUGAGGAAGUAUUUAGUUUGUGUGUUUAUAUGAGCGUUUGCACGACUGUACUAUGUUUUUAAAAAAUACUGUUACCUUUCUACUCCCUACAUUCUCCCAUGAUGUAUUAAUUGUAUUCUGAUAAAAUUCGUGUCCAUGCAGUUAUAUGAUGAUCAACUUGAAAAAUUUUGGAUUCCAUUAUAUGAUGAUUAAAUUGGGAAAGAGAGAGUAUUAGCUUUUUCAAAUAAAUAUAGGGGGGGGUGGUUCAGCAAUUAAAAUGGGGCUAACCUACCUGUAAACUCUAAACAGAAAUCUGUGCCUAAAGUGAAAACCACUUAUGUCGGACAGGUAUAGAAACUAAAAGAUAAUUAAAAUUGUCAACAUCGGUUUAUCCAGCCAAGAGGAACUAGAAUGCAAAAUUACUUUACAGCAAUGCAGCUCUGGCGAAACGUUGACAGAUUUGGCCCUCUCCCACACGAAUGCUGCAUAUGUUGGCUUGUAGCAGCCAUCGUUUCUAGCAAAUCAAGUCUGGUGUUAUCAGACUUGGACACAUGCGUACUAGUAAUAUUAGGGAGUCCCUACAGAGAAGUAGAGAACGACCAAGAUUUUGCACUUUUGCUGGCAUAUGUGAAGACAUAACUCCCGAAUAUACUUGUUGGCUGUUUAUCUCCAAUGUAUCUACUAUCUAGCAAUAUGCAGGCUCAUUUUGCUGGGAGAAAAUCGCGAGCUAUAAAUAUGCAUGCAAUGCAGCGUUUUCUCUUGCAAGAGCUGCUUAGACAGGAGUAGUUGCUACGAGUACUUGCUAGGAAGAAACUGCAGUGUGCUCUGUUCCAAAGAGUAGUGAUGGCUUCUGCCUCUUCUCUUGGCCUAUUACUGAUGCUCGCGGCGCUGGUCUCCACGGCCACCGCGCAUUUGUCGCCGACGUUCUACGACACGUCGUGCCCCCGAGCCAUGUCCAUCAUCAAGAGCACCGUGACGGCCGCCGUGAACAACGAGCCACGCAUGGGCGCGUCUCUGCUCAGGCUGCACUUCCACGACUGCUUCGUCCAAGCACGUUUCCAUCUCACAAACCACCCUGUUUUUUUUUUUUACUUUGAUUUAAGGCCGAAAAGUAGCUAACAGGUUUGCCUGUCUGUCAGACUACGUGAGUUAGCAGCGUUGCAAGAAAAUAAUCGUGGCUUAAUUUUUGUCUGAAUCAACACAGGGCUGUGACGCCUCAAUUUUGCUGGCCGGAAACGAGAGGAAUGCAGCCCCAAACUUUUCUGUCAGAGGCUACGACGUCAUCGACAGCAUCAAGACGCAGAUCGAGGCCGUGUGCAAGCAGACCGUCUCCUGCGCCGACAUCCUCACCGUCGCCGCCCGCGACUCUGUCGUCGCGGUAACCAUGCAUGCAUAUAUCAACGACACAAGAUAUCGAGCUCGCGAUUACGAAUUCUGUGAUGCUGAAUUGCUUUAUUUGGUUUUUAAUUUGGCAUGCAGCUUGGAGGUCCGUCAUGGAGUGUUCCGCUAGGGAGAAGGGACUCCACCGGAGCCGCUACCGCGGCCCAGGUGAUUAGCAGCCUUGCUCCUUCUACAGAUAGCCUCGCACAGCUCAUCAGCGCGUACGCGAGCAAGGGACUUAGCGCCACUGACUUGGUUGCUCUCUCAGGUGCACACAAUAUAUAUAACUCCUCGAUCGAUCUCCUAAUCAACCAUGGAAGUGUAGUAAACAACAGCUUGUGUUGAAAUUUGAAAACGAUAUGUUUUUGUUUCAAUUAUGCAGGUGCGCACACGAUUGGUAUGGCACGGUGCAGGGGCUUCAGGACGAGGCUAUACAACGAGACCAACAUCGACGCCGCCUUUGCGGCGGCGCUCAAGGCCAACUGCCCGGCGACGCCGGGCAGCGGCGACGGCAACCUGGCGCCGCUGGACACGACGACGCCCACCGCGUUCGACAACGCCUACUACCGCAACCUGCUGUCGAACAAGGGGCUCCUGCACUCCGACCAGGAGCUGUUCAGCAACGGCAGCACGGACAACACGGUCAGGAGCUUCGCGUCCAGCGCGGCGGCGUUCGGCGCCGCCUUCGCGACGGCCAUGGUGAAGAUGGGGAACAUCUCGCCGCUGACCGGGACACAGGGACAGAUCAGGCUCAUCUGCUCCGCCGUCAACUCGUGAUCUGAUCGACCGGUUUGUAUAUAUCCAGACGCUGGGCACUCGACAACAUGAUUAAUUACCAGUGCACGAAUGCAUCAAGGAAAGAAUUCCAGUUGCAAUUAAUUACAGGUGAAACAUACUACUCCGUCUUAGAAAGAAUCCAAUCCUAACAAUGAAUCUUGACACAUGUUCGUUAUUAGGAUUGGAUUUUUUUUUUUUUGGAACGGAGGAGGUACGCUCGUAUUAGCAUACGCAAUUAUAGUCCUUUAAAAUCGUAGAGCAUUCAGUGAAGAUGUCACCGAGAAUGUCACGGGGAAUGUUACUGAAUCUGCGUCCGUUUAUUAGCAGGUUUGCAUGCUUCUUGAUCUGUACCGACUUCUCUCUCCAAUACAAAAUCCACUCCUGUUACAAGUUAUUUUUUCCCUCUCUCUUUUUUUUUGAGAGAGAGAGGACUCCCGCUCUUGCAAUCUUGCUAGACCUGUUCGUCCUCCAUCUUGCAGUAGCAAGAUUUUUUGUUUUCUGGAUUGCCGUCGGCCGGUGACCACACGCGCGCCGCCGGCGCGAGUUAAGAUAUCUCCACCGCCUCGGCGAUAUUUUGCUCCACGUUGCAAAGGCCCGUGAAGGUGACGAUUUGGCCCAUCUAUGCCGGUGAGCGUGCUACGUGGUGGAUGGGGCGUGGGCCGGCUUAUUUUCGCGGCGCAAAGGCCUACUCUUUACUUGGCAGGCUGCCACUACUUCGGCCCAUUAAAAUUCACCAGCGGCAGAAAUUGAAAUGCUUUUUUUUGGCGGGUAGAAAAUGAAAUGAUUUGUUUUUACAGGAAAAAAAAUGAAUUGAAAACUAAAAAAAGCUGUCAACGUCGUUUUAAACAUUCUGAAGGUGAAAGGAAAGCAAAAUGACUGCACAACGGUCAGAAAAGGAGAGAAUUAUCUUGGACAAAUGCUGACCAAUCGAUUCAUCUAGGGUUGUGUUUCGUCUGUUAGUACGGAGUUCCACACCGAGUGCACAUCCGGUGGAUUAUGUUGGACCUGCACUUGUCAUGAAAUAUAUUGGGUGAAUGUUUCUCGUAUACGUCCUUUUUUCAUUUUCUUCGCGAACCCUUUAUGUUUUUUCUUCUUCUAAAUCAUCAUUCAUAUGCUGCUGGACACGAUAUUGUAAAUACAUGUGUUUGUAUUUCCAGUAUUUGAUUUCAGUUUAAGAAUCAUAAUGAGUGCUUAAAUUUUGACUAAUUGUUUCUGCCAUUCUUCUCGAGGACAGUCCAUAUAUUUGAACUAAUCUAGAUUCUGAACGGUGAAGUUUUACCUGUAUAUUGAAAAUUCUCCAAAAAAAAUUGACAACAUUCACAACAUAUAUAUGAACUACUCUAAAAAAAAUCAAGUAAAGACUCAACUCACACAUUGAGAAAUGAAAUUAAAAAACAAAUCCAGCAUUAAUUGGUACUAUUCACAUAUGAAUUUGUCUUUUUAUUUCUCAAUGCGCGGAUCAAAUUUGAAUAUAAUUUUUGGUAGAAUGGUAUAUGCUGUUUAUACUCUACAUUAGUAAUUUUUUAAAUAAUUUUACAACUAUUUAUAUUAAAUAUAAAAGAAAAGGUUAUACGCGUUGAUAUUCUCUCGGGGGAUUAGAAUCCCUCUUCCGUGAAAGUAACUUACAACUUCAGAUUCUUCUGAAUCUUUGCUGAUCAACUAGUAUAAUGUACGGGUGUACAGAUUCUGAUUAAUCACAAACAGAUACUGAGAGCAGAAGAAAUAUCAAUAUAUUGUCAUUACAACUUAAUUCAGUACUGGCCUUGAUUGGCUGCGAUUGCUGCUACAGACGCUGUGGCUGAGGUAGUUGAACCGUUGCAAGCUACAGCCAUUUUGAACUGCCGCAAUAACGGCUGUUAUGGUAGCAAUCACAUCCGAACAUGCCCACGUAUGUGAUAGAUCGAAAUGGCAAUGGAGUUCGGCCCCAGCUUAACUGAAAUGAACUCUGCUUGAUUGCAUGGCAGACAAACUCAUUAUCAUGGAUGCGAGAGCUGAACAUUCAACUGUUACAUGGUUUAAGGCGAGGCGUGGUGUCCUAACUGUUAGGACAUUCUCUUGGAUCAGUGUCACAACAGUUACUGUUCUGGUGCUACCUACAGUAGUAGUGCACUGUACUGUUAUUUGUUUCCUACGAGUAUAUACUGGUAGCCCAAAGACUGUUUAGUGAAAUGGAUGACCAGGGAUGGUGGCUGUUCUGUUCUCCUCACUCCGUUUUUUAAUAGAUGACACCGUUGACUUUUUCUCACACGUUUAAUCAUUCGUCUUAUUCAAAAAUUUUAUACAAAUGUAUAAGAUAUAAAUCACACUUAAAAUACUAUGAGUGAUAAAACAACUCAUAACAAAAUAAAUUAUAAUUACGUAAAUUUUUUGAAUAAGACAAAUGGUCAAACAUGUAAGAAAAGAAAGUCAACGGCGUCAUCUAUUUAAAAAACGGAUGUAGUAUUCCACACUUUUCCACUCACUUGCUCAUAGAAAGUUCACGAACACAGCUGUAACUAAAGUGACAAAGCCAUGUUACGCCAUUGUUUCACAGACUUUUCCUGCAAGCGAUGCCUGACAAUUCCAAGGAUAUACUAUAAUUUUGCCCGGUGAAAGAGGGAAGCAGGGGUUAGUGUUGGCGGUUGCAAUUUAAGUUGGGCGCUGUCACCCGAUCAUGUCUCUCUUGGGUGCAUGCAAGCCAAAUUACUUCACCACACAACGUGAGCACGUCGAAUGCCAACACACGUUGGUCAAUACUGUUCAUACCCACGAUCAAAAUGGCUGCACAACGACAGUGGAUUGUGAGGACUAACCCUGGACUGGUAAGGCAUCAAAUCUGAAUGUUUUGUCUCUGCUGGAGAAGUACAGAGAUAUGCAGGUAACCAAGUGGGCUAAUUAAAUCUCUAGCUAUAAAUAUGCAUGGGAUGCAGCACUCUCCUCGCAAGCCACAGCCAAGUGCAGAUAGCUCAUUGCUAGGCAGAGAUAAACGUAUAUAUCUUUGGUUAAUUGUUAGCUUAGCGAUGGCCAAAGCAACUUGCAUUUCCUUGCUUGUGGUCGUGGCUCUGGCCACCGCGGCGUCGGCGCAGCUGUCGGCGACGUUCUACGACACGUCGUGCCCCAGAGCCAUGUCCAUCAUCAAGAGCGCCGUGACCGCCGCCGUGAACAGCGAACCCCGCAUGGGCGCGUCGCUGCUCAGGCUGCACUUCCAUGACUGUUUUGUCCAAGCAAGUUCCACACAUAACCAGCGCCUUUGUUCCAUUUUGACUUAAACGUUACUGCAGUAUAUCUCUAGUCAAGCAACUUGAGUGAUAUUUGAAUUGAACUAGAAAAGUUAAAUAUAUAUUGUACAUGUGUGCAUGCAGUUAGAUGACAUGUUCAGACAAAUAACCAUAUAUUGUACAUGUGUGCAUGCAGUUAGAUGACAAUUGACAAGCAAGACAAAUAACCAUACAUUCUUCCUGUUUGACUAACUGUACAGGGUUGUGACGCGUCUGUUCUGUUGUCGGGAAACGAGCAGGAUGCUCCUCCAAACAAGGAUUCUCUUAGAGGCUACGGCGUCAUCGACAGCAUCAAGGCGCAGAUAGAGGCCGUGUGCAAUCAGACCGUCUCAUGCGCCGACAUCCUUACCGUCGCCGCCCGUGACUCCGUCGUCGCUGUAAGAUCACUUUCCCUGCAUGCAUAGCCUGCACGCUUGGUCUCGAACUCUCCUCUCGAUCGAUUCCUGUAUGGUUGUACGUGGGAAACGGAUCCUCUAACGUGAACUUCUUCCUAACGUGAUCACUAACAGUAACAGGUGAGCCCGUCAGUGGUGGAACUCAUAUAUCAGUUAUCACGUUCCUCUGGUUUUACGUCAGAUGAUCCCGAUCCAUAUAUAUGACAUUAUUAGGCUUCGGCUUUUGUACUUAACCAAUGGAGUAAUAAUCAUAUGAACGCGCAUGCAGCUGGGAGGGCCAACGUGGACUGUCCCGCUGGGGAGAAGGGACUCUACAGGUGCAAGCGCGGCGCUCGCGAUCAGCGACCUCCCUCCUUUUACCGCUAGCCUCCAAGAACUCGUAGACGCAUUCGCCAAGAAGGGCCUUAGCGUAACCGACAUGGUUGCUCUCUCAGGUAAAGAUCCACCAUAUAUGCUCACAAACCAUCAAACCAAGCAAGCUUAAUUUUCUGCACUCCUAUUUCAGGCGCGCACACGAUCGGGCAGGCGCAGUGCUCAACCUUCAGGGGCAGGAUCUACAACGAGACCAACAUCGACUCGGCCUUCGCGACGCAACGCCAGGCCAACUGCCCACGGACAUCCGGCGACAUGAACCUGGCGCCGCUGGACACGACGACGGCGAACGCGUUCGACAACGCCUACUACACCAAC